rnacentral:rRNA from 1 species
AUGGUGCGCGUUCAUCGCUAUGCAGAGCCCUGCCAUUCUGGCAGCGUCUUGGGUCAGACACCCAUUACUGGUCGUGCGCACGAGAGGCUGCAGGCUAUAAAACGAAAAACCGCACCCAGUUCACCCACACAUAGGCAAACCUGCUCGGCAAACCUCCCCGUAAUCCAUGCCAUUGCCACGCCCGUGAACGGAACCAGCACAACAGCAGGACAUGAAUACAUGACCUCGACGAUUUCGCCCAUUUUCACGGGGCAAAAGAGGCGGGAGCGCGCGCGGCGCAGCAAGCGGCUGCCCGAUCGAUGCGAACCCGACGAAUCGGCCAGCGGGAGCGACCGGAGAGCCGCGGGGUCCGGACGCGGGAGCGCGAGACCCCGCGCGGGCGACACUGUACAUGUCUGGCCGGCGAGCGUGCGUGCGUGCGUAUGCGCCUUCGUUUGGAGACGGCGCACAUGA